rnacentral:tRNA from 1 species
GGGCGCCCGUAGCUCAGUUGGAUAGAGUACCUGGCUACGAACCAGGCGGUCGGGAGUUCGAAUCUCUCCACUCCGACCA